UCAGUUAUGUUCAGCGAAAUAUGCAGUCUUGACAUAAGAUAACAUAAGUACGUCGGCCAACAAAGUGAGGAGACAAGAUUUAAAAUGAUGGACUAAUUCACCUAAUAGUCUAAAUAUGGAGGAAAAAAAACACAAGUCACGUAAUUUUCCCCCGAGAUUUUGACGAGAGUUGCCAUUUUGUUUUAAGAAAAAAUAUCACAAGUUAGAGACGAGAUAUAGUCAGAUUCUCCCGAGAUUUGAAGAAAGUUGCCAUUUUGUGCUUUAAAAUAUCACAGUGAGAGACAAAAACCUAAAUGUCUUUCGUAACACAGAAUAAACUGGUAUUUACAGGAAUUAUGUCCCUGAUUCUCGUUAUAAUAGCGCUUGUAAUCUACAAUUUAAAUUUAAAAUUUGAUUUGAAAGAUUUAGAAAAUAGAUAUCUGAAUCAUCAGCUGAAUACUGCAUUGCAGUCACGAGACACAGGACCUGGAAUCAUGGACAAUGACGCCAAAGGGGCCAACUACCUGAGAGUUAUCUUUGACUAUAUAGUUCUGGGUGUAAUAACUAUUGUCUGUACAUUGAUGAUACCUGCAGUUAAAGCUUUUGACGAGAAAAGGAAACCUGUACUGGCACAACAAGGACAUCAUUUGGCAGAAUUAGCGAAAAUUCAGGAGACGAAAAAAACCAUCAAUACAAAAGUUCUGUUAAGUUCUGAAGAUUCAGGAUUAGGAUCAAUAAGCACUUCACUUACAAACAUGUCUUUAAAUGAGGAAACUGAGCUUGAAAGGCAAAUAGAUCUUCCUAUCGGAUUAGAAUUAAGAAGUAUGCUUCUAUGUUCUGCUAGUAAUAAAAAUAUGUCUUUGGAUGAGGAAACUGAGCUUGAAAGACAAAUACAUCUUCCUAUUCAAUGUUCGCAAGCUCAUCCGUUUAAGACAUAUUUAGAGUGCUACACCAAUUCCAAUCAGUUGGUUUCCAAUAAAGUAACAGAUUGGCUUUAAUGAACAUCUGAUAACAGAAUUAUCUUAGUAAUUAGUAGCGAGAGCUUGUUCCUUUUAUUCUGAUUUUUUAAGUAGAUCGAGGCAUUUGUCAUCUAAGCUUCAACUACAAGGAUACUUGCGCACUAAACUUAUUAAAUUUAGAAAAACAUAAAAUUUUAAGUGCUCUCUUAGAAUGGAUACAUAUAGGUAUCGAAUAGCAUUAACUAAAUUUAGAUGUGGGAACCAAAACUUAGCAAUAGAAACUGGAAGAUGGCAUAAUAUAGAUAGAUCUACAUGUAAAUAUUGUCUGGAUAAUCUAGACUACACGACUAUCAAAGAUGAAAUUCAUUUCGUUGUAUCUUGUCAAAUGUGUAAAGACCUUAGAUGACAACUAAGGUUGUAAAUAAACAUUGUAAAUAAUAUAGCAGAAUAUAUAUUUAAGGCUAACAGCAUAAUAACUAGUUAUCUGUUGUAAUAUAAUUAUGUUUUAUAUAGUUGAUAUCUUUUAUUAUACUGUAUUUCUAUGUACUAUGGGCCAGAGGCCUUAAAUACUGAAUAAAGAUUGGAUUUAUCGAUCGAUUCAUUGGUUGACUGGUUGGUUGAUUGAUUGAUUGAUUGAUACAGGUCUAUUAAAUCAAAAAUUUUCAAAUACUUGUUUAUGGUAUAAUUAUAUCGACAUGUAUGAAUGGGAAAUUUUCAAAUCCUGGGUUAAAGUGUGAUUAGAUCUAUGAAUGAAAAUAAAUGUGUAGUUCUACAUGUGAAUGGUCGCCUGUCCAACCUUGUGUGUUUUCUCCGGCUUCUCCGGUUUCCUCCCACUGCUAAAGACCCCUACGCGCAAGCGAAUUAUUGAAAUAAAAUUAAACCAUAUGUUAGUGCCAAAAUGACCUAGUUUGUGUCGAGUGGAGGUUAAACCCCAUCUCUCUCUCUCUCUCUCUCUCUCUCUCUCUCUCUACAUGUGAAUCUGUUUAAAUUGUAGUUUUGAGUAAUUUUUGUAAGAUAGUGAACUACAUAUAAAUGUAUAAUGGUACACCUUUGCACUGUGUUAUGACAUCAUCCUUUACAAUCCAUUAGGUGAACACCUUUAAAUGUAUUCACUAACUGUCCACCAUAUUUCUUGUAUUUAUUAGCUAUUUUAAAGGACAAUAUUCGUGUCAGUCAUCGGAAGUGACGAACGUAAAAGGAAAACACAAGUUAUCACUCUAUGUAACUGACUGAAGUGACGAGUGAUAACAGAUACAUGAGCGAAUUUCGGCUCACUAAUAAUUCCUUCGAAGACCAAAAUUUGUAGCAAUGAUCUGUGUAUUUUAAGUUAUUGUAAUGUAUAGUAAAAUUUGUUAUUAAGUAUUUUUGUACACAGCCUAUAUUGUCACCUGCAAUAUCUAUAUGUACUAGGGGUUAUUUUAGUUCUAUGAUAGGUGCUCUGUUUAAUAUAUUGAAGUGGUUAAAGAUACAUUAUGGAAGACUAGAUAAAGAGCUGGCAGUUGUCACUAUAAUAGUUAAAAACUAGAUAAAAUAAAGGAAAUUUACUGAAAAUUUCAGUCAAAUCGAUCAGCCUGAACUGAGAAUUUAGCGAUUGAAUUUUGGGCGUAGCCUCGAUCAUCAUUACUAAAGUUAUUAGAAUAAAAUACAUAGUCUUGAUUAUCCAUUUUUUGAUUUAAUCAGCAGCAGCAGACCAGGUUCUAAUCCAGUAAAUAUCGCAGGCUAGCGAUGCCAUCGAGAGUUGAUUAUGGUCUUUUCAUGUUAAUAAAUGUCUAAUGAAUAAUUUAGAUAACAUUUCAGGCCUAAAGAAAGACCUGCAAAUUGGCAGAUUUAGCUCUUGCAUAAUGUAUGUUUAACAAAUGGGUGACAACGAGAACUGGGUUAAGUAGGUAUUUUGCAAGAUAGACGUACCUUUAGUCUCUUCAGCUUAGAGACUGAGAGAGGUCACCAUGAAGACUUAAAAAAAAGAGUGUAACACCACAAAACACAAGCUAAGGGAUAGGGAAGUUAUAUUUAAAGGAGCUAAAUCGCUAAUAUUUGGGACCUAGAAAUUGACAAAAAUGGGUCGCAAGGCAUAUAAUAAUGUAAUAUGAAUGUAUAUAAACUGAUUUACAUUCAA